rnacentral:rRNA from 1 species
UACGGGGGGGGCAAGCGUUGUUCGGAAUUACUGGGCGUAAAGGGCUCGUAGGCGGCCAACUAAGUCAGACGUGAAAUCCCUCGGCUUAACCGGGGAACUGCAUCUGAUACUGGAUGGCUUGAGUUCGGGAGAGGGAUGCGGAAUUCCAGGUGUAGCGGUGAAAUGCGUAGAUAUCUGGAGGAACACCGGUGGCGAAGGCGGCAUCCUGGACCGGUAUUGACGCUGAGGCGCGAAGGCCAGGGGAGCAAACGGGG